AUUGAACGCUGGCGGCAGGCCUAACACAUGCAAGUCGAGCGGAGCGGCGGACGGGUGAGUAAUACCUAGGAAUCUGCCUGGUAGUGGGGGAUAACGUUCGGAAACGGCCGCUAAUACCGCAUACUAUCAGAUGAGCCUAGGUCGGAUUAGCUAGUUGGUGAGUUAAUGGCUCACCAAGGCUACGAUCCGGAACUGGUCUGAGAGGAUGAUCAGUCACAGUGGAAAUGAGACACGGUCCAGCCUCCGACGGGAGGCAGAAGUGGGGAAUAUUGGAGAAUGGGCGAAAGCCUGAUCCAGCCAUGCCGCGUGUGUGAAGAAGGUCUUAGGAUUGUAAAGCACUUUAAGUUGGGAGGCGUUACCGACAGAAUAAGCACCGGCUAACGCGGGGCCAGCAGCCGCGGUAAUUC
rnacentral:rRNA from 1 species